AACGAACGCUGGCGGCAUGCUUAACACAUGCAAGUCGAACGGAAACGCCCUGAGUUUGUGCGCUUCUCGAGGGGCGGACGGGUGAGUAACACGUAUGUAACCUGCCCUUGACUUUGGGAGAACUUCAGGAAGCUGGGGCUAAUCCCGUAUAGGAUCUCCUGCUGCAUGGUGGGCGGUGGAUAGUUUCGGCGGUUGGGGAUGGACUAGCGGGUUAUCAGCUUGUUGGUGGGGUAGUGGCUGACCAAGGCAGUGACCGGUAGCCGGCCUGGGAGGGUAAGCGGCCACGAUGCGCCUGAGAUACGGCGCAGCCCCGUAUGGGAGGCAAGGGUGGGGAGGAGUAUACAGUGAGAGGGAGGCUGAUGUGGAACCGCCGCGUGCGGAAAGACGGUCUGCGGGUAGUGAACUGCAGCCGUUUGAGACGAAGCGUUAGUGACGGUACCGGGAGAAUAAGCACCGGCUAACUACGUG
rnacentral:rRNA from 1 species